UUUUUUUUUUUUUUUCCAUUCUCACAUUUCAAAUGCUUUGAUUAUUUUCUCCCCCUUGCCUCAUUUUAAAUUAAUAACAUUUUAUAUGAUAAGAAAGAUUCCCUUUCUAUUGUGUGCUAUUUUAUCUCAAAAAGCUUCUUCCCACCUAGGUAACAGAGAGAUAUUUUUAAAUAAAUGGUCAAAGUAAAAAAUGCAAUAAAAUAAGAGUGUUAGUCAUCGCACCCUCCCUGGAGAAAUUCACAGAAAAAUACUACAUAUAAUGUUAUUGAAGAUUCACAUUAUCUUUCCUUUUGUGUGUUCUGAUAAUUGAACAAUUAACACUCUGCAAGUAAAUUAAAAUAAAAUUACACUCUCCUAAAUCCAUUACCCAAGUUAUUUUUAAUAAUUUCCUGUUUACUUGCAGUUUCCAAUUGUUUUUAUUUCACUGUUUUUUUUUUAAUCAGUUCACUCCUUCAGAUGAAAUUUAAAUGGGUUGACUAAAGAUGCCAACUGUUUCUAAAGAAUAUGAAUUGACCCAAAUAAUUGAGCAAGAAUUUGAAGUUAAUGGCAGAAGGGAUCUAUCGCAAGGCAGGAACAAUAGUAGGAGGUAAAUAGCGUAUCAUUAUUCACUUCCCCCAUUCACACUUCUUCUGUGUUUGUUAUAAAUUUCCAAUUUGUUGUGAAGUGAUUUCAAAUUAAAGCUAAUUAUCAACCAUGUAUCAAUGCUUUUAUUGCAGCAGAUAUAUCAUAAAUGUCUCCAUGUCAAAGCACUAUGUUUGGGGAAAUACAAAGAGAAAUAGAGCCAGACUCCUGCCAUCUGAGGAACGUGUGUUCUAGUUGGAAGGGAAAAUGCAGAGUGGAUACAGAAAUAGUAAGAUGGUGGUGUAGCAGGUUCCUGUGGCUGCUGUAACAAAUUGCUGCAGGCUGGAGCUUAAAACAAUCGAAAUUCAUUCUCUCAUGGUUCUGGAGGCCAGAAGUCCAAAUCAAGGAGUCAACAGGGUGUGGUCCCUCCAGAGGAUUCAAGGGAAGAUCCUCUGUGCCUCUUCCAGUUUCUGUUGGCCGCUGACCUUCCUUGUAGUGGUACUCCUCCAUCUGACCCCUGCCUCCUUCAUCACACAGUGUUCUACUCUUACAAGCGUACCAGCCACUGAAUUAAGGACCCACCAUGAUCUAGGAUGUCCUCAUCUUAAUUUAAUCAUAUUUGAAAAAGCCUUAUUUACAAACAAAGUCUCAUCCAAGGUUCUGUGCAGACAUGGAUUUUGGGGAGACACUAAUCAAUCUACUAAAAUAGAGAUAGACUCUGAGUUGGACUGAAUACCUCCAUAAGUUCAGAGCAAGUUGCAACAGAAGGCGUGAUACUGGGCAUCAUGGAAAACACAACUGUACAGGCUUUUAUCACCUGGGCUCAGCCUGCCUGUCCAUCCUCAUGCUUUAUCUCUUUCUAGCCAUAAAGCAUCACACUGAAUUUUCACUUCUCCUGGGAUAUGUGGCAAUCUUUUUAAGCCUUUGCAGAUGGCAAAUUCAUAUAUUUGUUUGUCUCUAUAAUUCUAUGGAGAUUUUUAAAUCUGAGACAAUAGAGGUUAAUUGCCCAUAUGUUCUAUAGACAAGAUGAGAGCUAAGACCAUCUCUGCCAGACCUGCUAAGAGCUGGACAAAACAAGUCCUGAGACCUUAUCCCAAAACUCAUCCUAACUCUAUAAGAGAAGCCCAGAGAUUGAUCAAAUAAAUUGAUUGGAAAAAUUUUUUUUCAAGAAAGCUGUCAAACUAGGGAUGCCUAAGUGGAUCAGUGGUUAAGCAUCUGCCUUUGGCUCAGAUCAUAAGCCUGGGAUCCUGGGAUCGAGUCCUACAUCAGGCUUACUGUGGGGAGUCUGCUUCUCCCUCUGCCUACGUCCCUGCCUCUCUCUGUGUGUGUCUCUCAUGAAUAAAUAAAUAAAAUCCUAAAAAAUAGUUGUUGACCUAGGGUAGGUAAAGGCAUUUUUCCUCCUCUCUUGAGGGAGGCAAGAACAGGGGUUUGAGGAAGCCCUGAGUUCCAGUCCUGACAUAGGGCUCCACAGAGUGCAGUGAGAGAGCAUUUUGAUGAAUUG
rnacentral:lncRNA from 1 species